AUUGAACGCUGGCGGCAUGCUUUGCACAUGCAAGUCGAACGGUAACAGGCCGCAAGGUGCUGACGAGUGGCGAACGGGUGAGUAAUGCAUCGGAACGUGCCCAGUCGUGGGGGAUAACGCAGCGAAAGCUGGGCUAAUACCGCAUACGAUCUAUGGAUGAAAGCGGGGGACCGUAAGGCCUCGCGCGAUUGGAGCGGCCGAUGUCAGAUUAGGUAGUUGGUGGGGUAAAGGCUCACCAAGCCAACGAUCUGUAGCUGGUCUGAGAGGACGACCAGCCACACUGGGACUGAGACACGGCCCAGACUCCUACGGGAGGCAGCAGUGGGGAAUUUUGGACAAUGGGCGCAAGCCUGAUCCAGCAAUGCCGCGUGCAGGAAGAAGGCCUUCGGGUUGUAAACUGCUUUUGUACGGAACGAAACGGCGAGCUCUAAUACAGUUUGCUAAUGGCGGUACCGUAAGAAAAAGCACCGGCUAACUACGUGCCAGCAGCCGCCGUAA
rnacentral:rRNA from 1 species